rnacentral:rRNA from 1 species
UGCGUAGGCGGGUCUUUAAGUCAGGGGUGAAAUCCUGGAGCUCAACUCCAGAACUGCCUUUGAUACUGAAGAUCUUGAGUUCGGGAGAGGUGAGUGGAACUGCGAGUGUAGAGGUGAAAUUCGUAGAUAUUCGCGAGAACACCAGUGGCGAAGGCGGCUCACUGGCCCGAUACUGACGCUGAGGCACGAAAGCGUGGGAGCAAACA